GUGGGGAAUUUUGGACAAUGGGCGCAAGCCUGAUCCAGCAAUGUCGCGUGCAGGAAGAAGGCCUUCGGGUUGUAAACUGCUUUUGUCAGGGAAGAAAUCUUCUGGGCUAAUACCCCGGGAGGAUGACGGUACCUGAAGAAUAAGCACCGGCUAACUACGUGCCAGCAGCCGCGGUAAUACGUAGGGUGCGAGCGUUAAUCGGAAUUACUGGGCGUAAAGCGUGCGCAGGCGGCUUUGCAAGACAGAUGUGAAAUCCCCGGGCUCAACCUGGGAACUGCAUUUGUGACUGCAAGGCUAGAGUACGGCAGAGGGGGAUGGAAUUCCGCGUGUAGCAGUGAAAUGCGUAGAUAUGCGGAGGAACACCAAUGGCGAAGGCAAUCCCCUGGGCCUGUACUGACGCUCAUGCACGAAAGCGUGGGGAGCAAACAGGAUUAGAUACCCGUGUAGUCC
rnacentral:rRNA from 1 species